rnacentral:rRNA from 1 species
CAGUCGCCGCGGUAAUACGUAGGGUGCGAGCGUUAAUCGGAAUUACUGGGCGUAAAGCGUGCGCAGGCGGUUUGUUGAGACAGAUGUGAAAUCCCCGGGCUCAACCUGGGAACUGCAUUUGUGACUGGCAAGCUAGAGUGUGGCAGAGGGGGGUGGAAUUCCGCGUGUAGCAGUGAAAUGCGUAGAUAUGCGGAGGAACACCGAUGGCGAAGGCAGCCCCCUGGGCCAACACUGACGCUCAUGCACGAAAGCGUGGGGAGCAAACAGGAUUAGAUACCCCUGUAGUCCCUGUCUCUUAUAA